rnacentral:rRNA from 1 species
GGCACGCCUAAUACAUGCAAGUCGAACGCAGUAGCAAUACUGAGUGGCAGACGGGUGAGUAUAAUGUGGGUAUCUGCCUUUUGGUUUGGAAUAACUCGGGGAAACUUGAGCUAAUACCGAAUAAGCCCUUACGGGGAAAGAUUUAUCGCCGAAAGAUGAGCCCGCACUUGAUUAGCUUGUUGGUGAGGUAAAAGCUCACCAAGGCAACGAUCAAUAGCUGUUCUUAGAGGAAGACCAGCCACAUUGGGACUGAGACACGGCCCAGACUCCUACGGGAGGCAGCAGUAGGGAAUCUUGCACAAUGGGGGAAACCCUGAUGCAGCGAUGCCGCGUGAGUGAAGAAGGCCUUUGGGUUGUAAAACUCUUUCGUCGGGGAAGAAAAUGACGGUACCCGAAUAAGAAGGUCCGGCUAACUUCGUGCCAGCAGCCGCGGUAAUACGAAGGGAUCUAGCGUAGUUCGGAAUUACUGGGCUUAAAGAGCUCGUAGGUGGUUAAAAAAGUUGGUGGUGAAAUCCCAAGGCUCAACCUUGGAACUGCCAUCAAAACUUUUUAGCUUGAGUGUGAUAGAGGAAAGUGGAAUUUCUAGUGUAGAGGUGAAAUUCGUAGAUAUUAGAAAGAACACCAAAAGCGAAGGCAACUUUCUGGAUCACUACUGACACUGAGGAGCGAAAGCAUGGGUAGCGAAGAGGAUUAGAUACCCUCGUAGUCCAUGCUGUAAACGAUGUGUGCUAGACGUUGGAAAUUUAUUUUUCAGUGUCGCAGCAAAAGCGUUAAGCACACCGCCUGGGGAGUACGACCGCAAG